AGGCCAUAUCACACUGAAACACCGGUUUCCGUACGAUCACCGAUGUUAAGCAUCGUCGAGCAUUGUUAGUACUUAGACGGGUGACCGCCUUGGAAUUACCAGGUGCUGUUA